rnacentral:lncRNA from 1 species
UAUUUUUCUUUUUUUCAUUUUUUCUUGCAAACUUCCAACACUCAUAACUCCCUCAUUUUUCCAUGAAAAUCAAAGUUGUAAAAACCAAACUUGCUCAGCUUUUCACAAGGAACACAAUGGGAUAAUUUUCACAAGCUAAAACUCAAAUAAUAAUUCACACAAAUAUCAAAACCAGUCACAAACCAUAACUAUUCAACUAUCAACAACUUCCAACACAAGCAUGAUAAAUUGCAAACAAUU